GACGAACGCUGGCGGCGUGCUUAACACAUGCAAGUCGAACGGAAAGGCCCUGCUUGCAGGGUACUCGAGUGGCGAACGGGUGAGUAAAACGCGGGUGAUCUGCCCUGCACUUCGGGAUAAGCCUGGGGAACUGGGUCUAAUACAGGAUAGGAGCCAUUUUUAGUGUGAUGGUUGGAUAGUUUUUUCGGUGUAGGAUGAGAUCGCGGCCUAUCAGCUUGUUGGUGGGGUAAUGGCCUACCCAGGCGGCGUCGGGUAGCCGGCCUGUGAGGGUGGACGGCCACAUUGGGACUUAGGUACGGCCCCGGCUCCUACUGGAGGCAGCAGUGGGGAAUAUUGCACAAUGGGCGCCAGCCUGAUGCAGCGACGCCGCGUGGGGGAUGACGGCCUUCGGGUUGUAAACUCCUUUCGCUAGGGACGAAGCUUUUUGUGACGGUACCUAGAUAAGAAGCACCGGCUAACUACGUG
rnacentral:rRNA from 1 species